CCUCAUGCCGUUACCUGAAUGUCCAGCAGCCUUUGUGAGCUGCAACCUGUAGGGUUCUCUCUGAUCCCAAGAAACUCCCAAUUACGGUCACUUUGACUUCGUCCUAUCUCCUGGAUUCAUGAAUCAUCCAGCAAGAGGCUGCCUCUUCCAAACGCUUUGAGUCACUUCCCCAGGAUAUUUCCAUGAGCCAUCAAAGCGCAUACCUCAGCAGUGUCUCCAUGUACUUGUUAAGUUUCUUAGGAAUUUUUUUUAAUGAUUCAGUGCCCUCUCUCUCCGAGCUGCCUUUUGUCACUUUCAACGUUCAGCAGAUGCAUUUGGCUCGUGGGCAGGGGUGGAUUCUCACAGUUGAGGAAUUUUUUUAUCCUCUCUGCUCUGCCUGGCGUGAGCAGCACUUGCAGUGAAACGCUCGCUUUCAUGCCUCUGGUCUUGGGGUUUCUCUGUUGAACCUUGGAUGCUGCAGGUAUCGCCUCCGGACAGCCCCGCCUCUGGAAACCUGGCGUUGCUGCCAAAGUGAAGCAAAAUUCCUAAUGGCACUUGGCAGUGUGAAUGUUGCAGUAGCCUCAGUCCCAGCGUGAGAGAGGUCCUGGAACAGCUGCUAGCCCACCCUGAGAUGGACACGUCACGUGACCGCUGAGUGUUUCUGGAUGCUUGUUACCCCAGCGUAACCCAGCCUGUCCAGUUGGCUACAAAGGGCAUCGUUCUGCUGCUACACCUUGCCUCCCUGGAGCUGAAAAUUGAAUCUGUUUGUCAGCAUUGGAACCAACCUUCAGAUGGUGUAGAGAAAGUACCAGCAAACUGAAGUGCCAUUGUGAGGUUGACAUAUAUGGACCUGGGACCUGACAGUGGCUUUGCUGCAAGGUGUACAGUUUGCUCCUGUGACCUCUCUGGACUGCGAUGGUUGGUGAACACGCAACCAAAGACAAAUCCUAGAGCUGCAACUAUAUUUUAUAAAUGGCCCUCGUUUGGUUCCUGCAUAACAAACAAUGUCUUCUCAUUGAUGGGGGCUGUUUCAUGCGCCUGCCUUUUUGGAGAAAGAAAACAACUUCUAGUCUCAGGCUUGUAUGAAUCCAGCACUGUUUUUCACAACUUGUUUUCGCCUCAGCGACUUGACAUGGCUCCCUAUCCAUCGCCGGUCCCCACGCUCCACGGUAACGAGAUUUUAAAAACUGUCCAUUUGGCUCCUUCCUGAGGUUUUACUCAUUUUGAAACUUUGCCACGCUGGCUGGCAUGUUUCACAUUUGCUUAUCUCUGAGCUUACUCCCAAGAGCUGCUGAACUUUCCCUUCCAUGUCACUAAGCUGGGACAGAGUGAAGACGGAGAGGAAAGAGUUACUGUCUCACAAGCUGUGACUUUGUCUGUCCAGAGUGGCCCUUGGAUGCAGCUCAUUAUUUGUGGAAAUAGUGUGUGCCACGGGCAAAAAUAACUUUUUAAAAAAAGCACAUCUCUGUACCCUCCUGAAGUCAUCUCAAAAUGAAGUCAAGAUUUCUCAUGAAACGGAGAGAGCUUUAUCAUGGCCCGAGUGGGUCCUUGAGUACUUGUCCCCGCCACAUUGUCUGCUCUGAGCAACCUGAGGGUCCAGACCAAGCUAAAAGAGGCUUCAUGAUGAGGUAAUGAGAAGGGUGGGAAGCAGGUUUUCUAUUUGGAGCCACAGGACCAUGGGAAAAAUCUCACUCGAGGACCAUAAACAACCAAAAAGAAACAAUGGAAAGAGAAAAAUAUGGGACCUUUCCCUUACCUGAUUUCAUUUUAUUUUAUUUUAUUUAUGGCCACACCCACGCAAGGAAGAUCCUGGGCCAGGGAUUGUGACUUAUGCCACGGCCGUGGCAAUGCCAGAUCCUUUAACUCAUAGCGCCAGGCCAGGGAUCGAACCCCGAACCUCCUCCACAGCAACCCGAGCCACUGCAGUCAAAUUCUUAAGAUUCCUAACACACUGCACCACAGCAGGAAAUCCUAGCCUGGUUUUAAAUUAAGCACAGGGAGUUCCCGUCAUGGCUCAGUGGUUAACAAACCUGACUAGUGUCCCUGAGACAUGGGUUCGAUCUCCGGCCUCGCUCAGAGGGUUCAGGAUCCAGCAUUGCCCUGAGCUGUGGUGUAGGUUACAAACACGGCUUGGAUCUGGCGUGGCUGUGGCUGUGGUGUAGGCCAGCAGUUGCAGCUCGGUUUCCACCCCUAGCCUGGAAACUUCCAUAUGCCGCAGGUGCAAAAAAAAAAAAAAAUUUAAGCACAAAGGAUACCAUGUUUUGAGUAAUAAAUCAAAACAUAUUUUGUCA
rnacentral:lncRNA from 1 species